rnacentral:rRNA from 1 species
UGGGGAAUCUUGCGCAAAUGCGGGAAACCGUGACGCAGCGACGCCGCGUGGGGGAAGAAGGCCUUCGGGUUGUAAACCUCUUUCAGGAGGGACGAAGCUACUCGGGUUAAUAGCCCAGAGGGUGACGGUACCUCCAGAAGAAGCCCCGGCUAACUACGUGCCAGCAGCCGCGGUAAUACGUAGGGGGCAAGCGUUGUCCGGAUUUAUUGGGCGUAAAGAGCGUGUAGGCGGCUUGGUAGGUCCGCUGUGAAAACUCGAGGCUCAACCUCGAGAUGUCGGCGGAAACCACUUGGCUAGAGUCCGGAAGAGGAGAGUGGAAUUCCCGGUGUAGCGGUGAAAUGCGCAGAUAUCGGGAAGAACACCUAUGGCGAAGGCAGCUCUCUGGGACGGUACUGACGCUGAGACGCGAAAGCGUGGGGAGCGAACAGGAUUAGAUACCCUGGUAGUCCACGCCGUAAACGAUGGGUGCUAGGUGUGGGCGGUGUCGACUCCGUCCGUGCCGAAGCUAACGCAUUAAGCACCCCGCCUGGGGAGUAC